UACGAAGGGGGCGAGCGUUGUUCGGAAUUACUGGGCGUAAAGGGCGCGCAGGCGGCUCUGAAAGUCAGAUGUGAAAUCCCCGGGCUUAACCUGGGAAUGGCAUUUGGGACUGCAAGGCUUGAGUGCGGCAGAGGAGACUGGAAUUCCGGGUGUAGCGGUGGAAUGCGUAGAGAUCCGGAAGAACACCGGUGGCGAAGGCGGCCUGCUGGGACAAUGCUGACGCUGAGGCGCGACAGCGUGGGGAGCAAACAGG
rnacentral:rRNA from 1 species